UACGUAGGCGGUUUAUUAAGUCAGAUGUGAAAGCCCCCGGGCUUAACCUGGGAACUGCAUUUGAUACUGGUAAACUAGAGUAUGGUAGGGGGGGGUAGAAUUCCUAGUGUAGCGGUGAAAUGCGUAGAUAUUAGGAGGAAUACCAGUGGCGAAGGCGGCCCCCCUGGCCAAUACUGACGCUGAGGUACGAAAGCGUGGGUAGCGAACA
rnacentral:rRNA from 1 species